UAAUGGUAGAAAAGAUAGAUAAGAAAGAAAUUAAAUACACAAAUGUUGACUUAAAUAGUUCCAGGAUCUUCCACUUGGGAUUCUCUUGUCUCCAUUUAUUGAAGAGGAGUCCAGAACUCCCAUAAAGCAAAGCACCUGGCUUGAGUACACUCACCUAUCAACAACAGCAUCUGGAAUAAAUUGUCCUUGCAGAGCAAAGCCUGGAGACUGUGCUGAUUAGCACCUGCUAGUGGACAAGUAUGGUUCUACAUCUUCUGAGAAUUCUGACAUCCAAAUUUGGUCAUCUUAAAAGGAGUCUGUAGUGUAUUUCCAGCACGUAGGGGGAAAAAAAUAUAUUCUCAUCAGGUGCAAUGUGGAACAACAAGCUGGAAAUUAAGGUCGAAGCACCAACUCAGCAAAUUCAGGGCGGCCAUUUUGUGAUUUGCUGUUGACUGAAAAUGACAGGACUCAGAUUGCCAACGUCACAUGACCACACAAAAAAAACAGGU